rnacentral:misc_RNA from 1 species
UUCUGGGGGGAGAGGCCCAAUUUAG